rnacentral:ncRNA from 2 species
GUUUUGCCCGGAUUUUUUGGUUCAGUUGUCUAGUGCAAUUGAUUAAAAGGGAAUCUGGUGCAACUCCAGAACUGUUCCCGCAACUGUAAGUUUAUACCAAACUAGAGUUUGGUUCCCAAAAAGGGAUGCUGUUUUCUACAAAACCACUGUCCGGUUUUUAGGAUGGGAAGGUAAAAUAGCAUAAAACAAGUCAGGAGACCUGCCAAAAUUCAUUAAUUAAA